AAUGAACGUUGGCGGCGUGGAUUAGGCAUGCAAGUCGUGCGAGAAGUCUUUUGCUUGCAUUAGACGGAAAGCGGCGAAAGGGAGAGUAACGCGUGGGUACCUAGCUCUAGGUUCGGGAUAGCUGCGGGAAACUGUGGGUAAUACCGAAUAACAUCUCCGGAUCAAAGGUGUGAUUCCGCCUGGAGACGGGACCGCGUCCUAUUAGCUUGUUGGUGGGGUAAUGGCUUACCAAGGCAAUGAUGGGUAUCGGGCGUGAGAGCGUGACCCGACUCACUGGGACUGAGACACUGCCCAGACACCUACGGGUGGCUGCAGUAGAGAAUCUUCGGCAAUGGGCGCAAGCCUGACCGAGCGACGCCGCGUGCGGGAUGAAGGCCCUCGGGUUGUAAACCGCUGUCAGUUGGGAGGAAAUCACAUGGGGUUCUCUCCAUGUGUUGACCUAUCUUCAGAGGAAGGACGGGCUAAGUUCGUGCCAGCCGCCGCGGUAAGAC
rnacentral:rRNA from 1 species